ACCUGUCUCUAACAGUCAUCAAGUGCAUAUAAAGGGAGGGUCCACGCCCAGGGUUGCCAAGCAGUGGGCAUCCUGCAAACUCUAAGUCUAUUCCUGAAAGUGUUCUCCUCCUAUGUCCAAGGACCAUGGUCUCCUUGGUGGUCCUCUCCAUCCUCAUCAUCUUGGUAGCAGGCCUGUGCUUUGAACCCAAGCAUGUUACCCUGGCAACUCCAAGACUCUAAGCAAGACCAGUGUUGAUCUACCUUGGUGGAGGGAAUUUCCAUACUAGGAUGCUUACACCCCAAUUGAAGGAUUCCAACCCAAAAGAUCAUUCUUCCAAUCAUUUUGCCUGUCUGUGAGACAUGUAACACUAAAGUCUCUGAAGAACUGAGACCUAAGGACAGUGGAGAGAUUCAUCCCCAAAUACUGAGGAGCCAUUUCUUCCUUUGAUGCCUUUCUCAGGAGUCAAAAGAAUCAUCUGAGGAUCACCUAGAUUCAGAAUGACCGUGUCUUCACUUUGCUCCUUCUCUUACACACAGACAUGACACCCCAAAGGACUGCUGCUUCCACUAUUCCUCUUGCAAGAUUCCCAGUGUAGUUGCUUGUUAUGAGACCAGCAGCUGGUGCCCCAAGCCAGGAGUCAUGGUCAUCACCAAGACACAGCGCCAGUUCUGUGUCCACCCAAGGAAUGUCACAAACUGUGGCAUUUCCCUACUACCAGAGAAAGUCCUAGAGAUGGAAAUCUUCUAGAAGAUUAUGGAAUACCAUUCUCAGAUAACACCUCCCUAUAUAUGCAUAUGAUUUCUCAAAAAUAAACUUACAUUGGACUUAA